UACGUAGGGGGCAAGCGUUGUCCGGAAUCAUUGGGCGUAAAGAGCGCGUAGGCGGCCCAGUCAGUCCGCUCUGAAAGUCAGGGGCUCAACCCCUGAAUGCGGGUGGAUACUGCUGGGCUAGAGUCCGGAAGAGGCGAGUGGAAUUCCUGGUGUAGCGGUGAAAUGCGCAGAUAUCAGGAGGAACACCGAUGGCGAAGGCAGCCCCCUGGGUCAAGAUUGACGCUCAUGCACGAAAGCGUGGGGAGCAAACAGG
rnacentral:rRNA from 1 species